rnacentral:rRNA from 1 species
UACGUAGGGUGCGAGCGUUAAUCGGAAUUACUGGGCGUAAAGUGUGCGCAGGCGGCGCCGCAAGUCGAGUGUGAAAGCCCCGGGCUUAACUUGGGAAUUGCGCUCGAAACUAUGGUGCUGGAGUGUGGCAGAGGAAGGUGGAAUUCCUGGUGUAGCGGUGAAAUGCGCAGAUAUCAGGAGGAACACCGGUGGCGAAGGCGGGUCUCUGGGCCGUAACUGACGCUGAGGAGCGAAAGCGUGGGGAGCGAACAGG